rnacentral:rRNA from 1 species
UACGAAGGGUGCAAGCGUUAAUCGGAAUUACUGGGCGUAAAGCGUGCGUAGGCGGUUUCUUAAGUCUGCUGUGAAAGCCCUGGGCUCAACCUGGGAAUGGCGGUGGAUACUGAGAAGCUGGAGUACGGUAGAGGAAGGUGGAAUUCCCGGUGUAGCGGUGAAAUGCGUAGAGAUCGGGAGGAACAUCAGUGGCGAAGGCGGCCUUCUGGACCAGUACCGACGUUCAGUCACGAAAGCGUGGGGAGCAAACAGG